rnacentral:rRNA from 1 species
UACGGAGGGUGCGAACGUUAAUCGGAAUCACUGGGCGUAAAGCGCGCGUAGGCGGUUCGUUAAGUGGGAUGUGAAAUCCCCGGGCUUAACCUGGGAAUUGCAUUUCAAACUGGCCGACUAGAGUACGGUAGAGGGAGGUAGAAUUUCCUGUGUAGCGGUGAAAUGCGUAGAUAUCCGGAGGAACACCAGUGGCGAAAGCGGCCACCUGGACUGCACCUGACGCUGACACGCGAAAGCUAGGGGAGCGAACGGG